CGUAGAAAAAGGCAAAGCCCCCGAAAGGCGGCGACGCAAAGCUACUGGUCUAAGGGACAUCGUCCUACGAUCGCAGGGCUACCUGA
rnacentral:ncRNA from 1 species